UGGGGGAUAUUGCACAAUGGGCGCAAGCCUGAUGCAGCGACGCCGCGUGGGGGAUGAAGGCCUUCGGGUUGUAAACUUCUUUUGCUCUGAACAAGGCGCACUUUGGGGUGUGUUGAGUGUAGGGGUUGAUUAGCGCCGGCUAACUACGUGCCAGCAGCCGCGGUAAUACGUAGGGCGCGAGCGUUGUCCGGAAUUAUUGGGCGUAAAGGGCUUGUAGGUGGCUGGUUGCGUCUGUCGUGAAAGCUCAUGGCUUAACUGUGGGUUUGCGGUGGGUACGGGCUGGCUUGAGUGCAGUAGGGGAGGCUGGAAUUCCUGGUGUAGCGGUGGAAUGCGCAGAUAUCAGGAGGAAUACCGGUGGCGAAGGCGGGUCUCUGGGCUGUUACUGACACUGAGGAGCGAAAGAAUGGGGAGCGAACAGG
rnacentral:rRNA from 1 species